CUGGAAUUUUUCUGUGCCGAGGUCUUAUGUGAACCAACAGACGAAUUGGAGAAUGCUUGUGCCAUGUUGGGAACUCCACGUGCUCUCUGGAACAGCAGUGCUUUGAGCAGAGGCAGCAGAGACGACAGCCUGUCCCUGAGCAGAGCCAACAGAGUGAAGUUGCACAGUGGAAAUCUGAAUUAGAGAUGAGAAGAAAGGAUUCCUUGCAAAAUAAGUUUGACACCUCGGUGAAAAAGAGGAGCAUCUUCUCCAAGGCUUUGGGCCAGUGCUCUAAACUAACAGAUUUCAUCAUUGGCGACAAGAGUAGUUUAAUCCAGAUGCCAAGACACUACAUUCCUGAGGAGGUGAGUGUUAACCAAGAACAACUCACUGAAUACUCUUAAACUGCCUGCAAAACUCAAGAAUCAAGAUAGCUGGGUUUCAAGCGAGGGUGCCUCUGCAAAGAGGAUGUGAAAAGGAAGUCUCUGCUCACAAAGUGUCCAUGGAUGUUCAAGGAAAGCUGUGCCACAGGUCACACAAAAUCCUGAUGUGAGAAAAGCACUGGAACAGAAGUGUUGCAAUUUUCAGGCCUCCCCUUCAUUAACUCCGAUGGCUCCUCAGCAAAAACGGCCGAGUUUGCUGCUGCACAGCUGAGAUUUUUCAGUUUUGGGC